rnacentral:rRNA from 1 species
GACAGAGGGUGCAAACGUUGUUCGGAAUUACUGGGCGUAAAGCGCGUGUAGGCGGCUUCGCAAGUCGGGUGUGAAAUCCCACGGCUCAACCGUGGAAGUGCACUCGAAACUGCGAGGCUAGAGUUCUGGAGAGGAAGGUGGAAUGCUUGGGUGUAGAGGUGAAAUUCGUAGAUAUCAAGCGGAACACCGGUGGCGAAGGCGGCCUUCUGGCGAGUA